rnacentral:rRNA from 2 species
AGCGUACACGGUGGAUGCCCUGGCAGUCAGAGGCGAUGAAGGACGUGCUAAUCUGCGAUAAGCGUCGGUAAGGUGAUAUGAACCGUUAUAACCGGCGAUUUCCGAAUGGGGAAACCCAGUGUGAUUCGUCACACUAUCAUUAACUGAAUCCAUAGGUUAAUGAGGCGAACCGGGGGAACUGAAACAUCUAAGUACCCCGAGGAAAAGAAAUCAACCGAGAUUCCCCCAGUAGCGGCGAGCGAACGGGGAGCAGCCCAGAGCCUGAAUCAGUGUGUGUGUUAGUGGAAGCGUCUGGAAAGGCGCGCGAUACAGGGUGACAGCCCCGUACACAAAAAUGCACAUGCUGUGAGCUCGAUGAGUAGGGCGGGACACGUGGUAUCCUGUCUGAAUAUGGGGGGACCAUCCUCCAAGGCUAAAUACUCCUGACUGACCGAUAGUGAACCAGUACCGUGAGGGAAAGGCGAAAAGAACCCCGGCGAGGGGAGUGAAAAAGAACCUGAAACCGUGUACGUACAAGCAGUGGGAGCACGCUUAGGCGUGUGACUGCGUACCUUUUGUAUAAUGGGUCAGCGACUUAUAUUCUGUAGCAAGGUUAACCGAAUAGGGGAGCCGAAGGGAAACCGAGUCUUAACUGGGCGUUAAGUUGCAGGGUAUAGACCCGAAACCCGGUGAUCUAGCCAUGGGCAGGUUGAAGGUUGGGUAACACUAACUGGAGGACCGAACCGACUAAUGUUGAAAAAUUAGCGGAUGACUUGUGGCUGGGGGUGAAAGGCCAAUCAAACCGGGAGAUAGCUGGUUCUCCCCGAAAGCUAUUUAGGUAGCGCCUCGUGAAUUCAUCUCCGGGGGUAGAGCACUGUUUCGGCAAGGGGGUCAUCCCGACUUACCAACCCGAUGCAAACUGCGAAUACCGGAGAAUGUUAUCACGGGAGACACACGGCGGGUGCUAACGUCCGUCGUGAAGAGGGAAACAACCCAGACCGCCAGCUAAGGUCCCAAAGUCAUGGUUAAGUGGGAAACGAUGUGGGAAGGCCCAGACAGCCAGGAUGUUGGCUUAGAAGCAGCCAUCAUUUAAAGAAAGCGUAAUAGCUCACUGGUCGAGUCGGCCUGCGCGGAAGAUGUAACGGGGCUAAACCAUGCACCGAAGCUGCGGCAGCGACACUAUGUGUUGUUGGGUAGGGGAGCGUUCUGUAAGCCUGUGAAGGUGUACUGUGAGGUAUGCUGGAGGUAUCAGAAGUGCGAAUGCUGACAUAAGUAACGAUAAAGCGGGUGAAAAGCCCGCUCGCCGGAAGACCAAGGGUUCCUGUCCAACGUUAAUCGGGGCAGGGUGAGUCGACCCCUAAGGCGAGGCCGAAAGGCGUAGUCGAUGGGAAACAGGUUAAUAUUCCUGUACUUGGUGUUACUGCGAAGGGGGGACGGAGAAGGCUAUGUUGGCCGGGCGACGGUUGUCCCGGUUUAAGCGUGUAGGCUGGUUUUCCAGGCAAAUCCGGAAAAUCAAGGCUGAGGCGUGAUGACGAGGCACUACGGUGCUGAAGCAACAAAUGCCCUGCUUCCAGGAAAAGCCUCUAAGCAUCAGGUAACAUCAAAUCGUACCCCAAACCGACACAGGUGGUCAGGUAGAGAAUACCAAGGCGCUUGAGAGAACUCGGGUGAAGGAACUAGGCAAAAUGGUGCCGUAACUUCGGGAGAAGGCACGCUGAUAUGUAGGUGAAGUCCCUCGCGGAUGGAGCUGAAAUCAGUCGAAGAUACCAGCUGGCUGCAACUGUUUAUUAAAAACACAGCACUGUGCAAACACGAAAGUGGACGUAUACGGUGUGACGCCUGCCCGGUGCCGGAAGGUUAAUUGAUGGGGUUAGCGCAAGCGAAGCUCUUGAUCGAAGCCCCGGUAAACGGCGGCCGUAACUAUAACGGUCCUAAGGUAGCGAAAUUCCUUGUCGGGUAAGUUCCGACCUGCACGAAUGGCGUAAUGAUGGCCAGGCUGUCUCCACCCGAGACUCAGUGAAAUUGAACUCGCUGUGAAGAUGCAGUGUACCCGCGGCAAGACGGAAAGACCCCGUGAACCUUUACUAUAGCUUGACACUGAACAUUGAGCCUUGAUGUGUAGGAUAGGUGGGAGGCUUUGAAGUGUGGACGCCAGUCUGCAUGGAGCCGGCCUUGAAAUACCACCCUUUAAUGUUUGAUGUUCUAACGUUGACCCGUGAUCCGGGUUGCGGACAGUGUCUGGUGGGUAGUUUGACUGGGGCGGUCUCCUCCUAAAGAGUAACGGAGGAGCACGAAGGUUGGCUAAUCCUGGUCGGACAUCAGGAGGUUAGUGCAAUGGCAUAAGCCAGCUUGACUGCGAGCGUGACGGCGCGAGCAGGUGCGAAAGCAGGUCAUAGUGAUCCGGUGGUUCUGAAUGGAAGGGCCAUCGCUCAACGGAUAAAAGGUACUCCGGGGAUAACAGGCUGAUACCGCCCAAGAGUUCAUAUCGACGGCGGUGUUUGGCACCUCGAUGUCGGCUCAUCACAUCCUGGGGCUGAAGUAGGUCCCAAGGGUAUGGCUGUUCGCCAUUUAAAGUGGUACGCGAGCUGGGUUUAGAACGUCGUGAGACAGUUCGGUCCCUAUCUGCCGUGGGCGCUGGAGAACUGAGGGGGGCUGCUCCUAGUACGAGAGGACCGGAGUGGACGCAUCACUGGUGUUCGGGUUGUCAUGCCAAUGGCACUGCCCGGUAGCUAAAUGCGGAAGAGAUAAGUGCUGAAAGCAUCUAAGCACGAAACUUGCCCCGAGAUGAGUUCUCCCUGACUCCUUGA